rfam:Triticum aestivum genome assembly, contig: Triticum_aestivum_CS42_TGACv1_scaffold_485739_6AS
GUAGUAUUCCCUCCAUCCCAAAAUUCUUGUCUUACAUUUGUUUAGAUACGGAUGUAUCUAACACUAAAAUGUAACUAGAUACAUCCGUAUUUAGAAAAAUUUAAGACAAGAAUUUUGGGACGGAGGGAGUACAAA